UACGGAGGGUGCGAGCGUUGUCCGGAAUCACUGGGCGUAAAGGGCGCGUAGGUGGCUUGGCAAGCGUGUGGUGAAAGCCCGGGGCUCAACCCCGGGUCUGCCGUGCGAACUGCUAUGGCUUGAGCACUGUAGAGGCAGGUAGAAUUCCGGUGUAGCGGUGAAAUGCGUAGAUAUCGGAAGGAACAUCAGUGGCGAAAGCGGCUUCCUGGACCAGAACUGACGAUCAGGCACGAAAGCGUGGGGAGCAAACAGG
rnacentral:rRNA from 1 species